AUUGAACGCUGGCGGCAGGCCUAACACAUGCAAGUCGAACGAGUGGCGGACGGGUGAGUAAUGUCUGGGAAACUGCCUGAUGGAGGGGGAUAACUACUGGAAACGGUAGCUAAUACCGCAUACCAUCGGAUGUGCCCAGAUGGGAUUAGCUAGUAGGUGGGGUAACGGCUCACCGAGGCGACGAUCCCUAGCUGGUCUGAGAGGAUGAACAGCCACACUGGAACUGUGACACGGUCCAGACUCUUACGGGAGGAAGCAGUGGGGAAUAUUGCACAAUGGGCGCAAGCUGGAUGCAGCCAUGCCGCGUGUAUGAAGAAGGCCUUCGGGUUGUAAAGCCCUUUAAGCGGGGAGGCGUUACCCGCAGAAGAAGCACCGGCUAACUCCGUGCCAGCAGCCGCGGUAAUAC
rnacentral:rRNA from 1 species